rnacentral:rRNA from 1 species
CGCAUCUGUGCAUGCAGCAUAUCAAUAAGCGGAGGAAAAGAAACUAACAAGGAUUCCCCUAGUAACGGCGAGUGAAGCGGGAAGAGCUCAAAUUUGAAAUCUUAAAGGGUUUCCCUUUACGAAUUGUAGUUUAAAGAAGUGUUUUCUGUUGAGGUUUUGGUAAGAGUUCUUUGGAAUAGGACAUCAUAGAGGGUGAGAAUCCCGUAUUUGACCUUUACUUUCAACUUUGUGAUACACUUUCAAAGAGUCGGAUUGUUUGGGAAUGCAGUCCAAAAUGGGUGGUAAAUUUCAUCUAAAGCUAAAUAUUGGCGAGAGACCGAUAGCGAACAAGUACCGUGAGGGAAAGAUGAAAAGAACUUUGAAAAGAGAGUUAAACAGUACGUGAAAUUGUCAAAAGGGAAGCGUUUGACAGCCAGUGUUGUUUUUCUGAAAAUCAAUUAAAGAACUGUUUAUGCUAAGUUGUUUAGACUUUAUCAGCUAACUGUUUAGUUUUGAGCUUUUCUUUAAUGCACUUUUCAGUUAACAAGUCAACAUCAAUUUCUUUUGCUGUAAAAAAGCUUGAGGAAGGUGGCUUGAGAUUCGUCUUAAGUGUUUAUAGCCUCUUGCCUAUGCAGUCGGAGAGAUUGAGGUCUGCAGCGUAGAUCCUUCGGGGCUAAAUGCAUUUGUGCUAGGUUAUAGCAUUUUAUAGACAACUUGUUGACUAUGAUUUGUCUUGUAGCUUACUCGCUUAUGUUAUUUUACCUACGCUUAGGAUGUUGAGCGCAUGUCUCUCUCU